UCUCGAUUCGUCUAGUGGUUAGGAUACCUGCUUGUCAUUCUAUGAAUUCGCAGGUGGCCGGGGUUCAAUUCCCCGAUCGAGAG
rnacentral:tRNA from 3 species